rnacentral:tRNA from 1 species
GGGGCCGUAGCUCAGCGGGAGAGCACCCGCCUUGCACGCGGGGGGUCAGGGGUUCGAAUCCCCUUGGCUCCA